rnacentral:lncRNA from 1 species
AGGCAUCAAUUACAACAGCAACUUCACCAACUUCAGCAGCAACAACAGCAGCAGCAGCAGAGGCUACAACAAUUAUCUCAACAGCAAUCAGUGUCUCAGAGUAAUGCAAAUCCACAAUUAAGACAUCUGUUACAACAUCAAAUGCAACAGAUGCGACAACAGCAGCAACAACAACAGCUUCUAAUGCAACCAAAUAUUCGUUCACAACUACAAUCAGGUGUGUCUCAAAUAUCUUUAACUGCUCCUGUUGGUCAGCAACAACAACAACAACCUCCUCAACAGCAACAACAGCAGCAGCAGCAGCAACAGCAGCAGCAACAACAAGCUUGGGAUGAUUCGAGUUUGCUUGAUUUUUAAACAACAAUGAAUUUUUAUAAUAUUUAACAAAUUGAUGCAACAAUAGUUGUAAAAAUAAUAAAUUAUGAAAGAAAUUUUUCAAUAUAUCAUUUGUAAUUAUGAAUACAAUAUAAAUCACUAUAUCAAAUUUUUAAUUUAC